rnacentral:misc_RNA from 1 species
GAAUUUUUCGUUCCAACUUUCAUACACAUCAGGGUUUAGAUCUCUAUAAGCCAAGCAAAGUGUACGGAGUCCAGCAGCACCAAAUUGCUCCAAGUGCUCCCUAGUUCUUUUCUUCAAAUCACUUUCUCCAUCACGCAACCUCUCAUAAAUAACAUUAUCUGCACCCUUGCAAUAGAGUACCAAUCUACCAUCAGGAUAGCGACAUACAACAGACUGACGCUUUCUCGUACUGUUGAAUUCAAGGACAUUCAAAAUCUCAUAGGGAAUAUCUUGGAUCUGUCCCAUCCUCUCAACGUGUGAUUCACGCACAUAAAUCAAUGUUGGAGUACGUUUGUAAAAGAAGAAGCCAAAGUUCUUUGCUGCUACAACCAAAGCAGACUCAUCUGGGGAUGCUGCUUGAUAUCGUAUUUUUUCUGGGGUUUCUUCACCUUCAGGCAGAACAGUAUGGCAUAUAGCAAGACAUUUGAAAAAUUCCCUGCAUGAAUCAGGAUUAGGUUCAUUCCUCCAGGCACCUCGCAUCAGCCGAGCAUCAUUAAAAUUGAAACCUUUUUCUCGUGCUUCU